rnacentral:rRNA from 1 species
UACAGAGGGGGCAAGCGUUGUUCGGAAUUACUGGGCGUAAAGGGCGCGUAGGCGGCCUGUUAAGUCGAACGUGAAAUCCCCGGGCUCAACCCGGGAACUGCGUCCGAUACUGGCAGGCUUGAAUCCGGGAGAGGGAUGCAGAUUCAGGUGUAGCGGUGAAAUGCGUAGAUAUCUGGAGGAACACCGGUGGCGAAGGCGGGUCUCUGGGCCGUAACUGACGCUGAGGAGCGAAAGCGUGGGGAGCGAACAGG